AUGGAGCACCUGGUGGAGCACAUGCGCGCGUCGCACCACUCGCCGCACGAGCCGCGCUGCGGCGUCUGCGGGAAGCACUGCCGCUCGCUCGACGCCCUCCGCGACCACCUCGGCUUCGGCGCCUCCCUGCCCCCAAAGCCCGCCUGCGCCACGGCCUUCGCUGCCAAGGGCUGCUCGCUCUGCCUCGCCGUCUUCCCUAGCUCCGGCUCCCUCCGCGCCCACAGCCCAACCUGUCACCACUCCCGCGCCCCGGUUCCCUCGAGGUCCAUGCCAAGAGUGCCCGUCGGUGGUGUGGUGGCGCUGGGCUGCAAGAUGGUGGGCGGCGGCAGCGACGGGACGCUGGACGUUUGCGGGCGCGUCUGCGUCAUCGACGAGAAUGAGGCCAUCGUCUUCGAGAACUUUGUGAGGCCGCUCCUCCCGGUGACGCACUACCGGUACGAGACCACGGGGAUCCGCCCUGAGUACCUGCGGGACGCGCCGACGGUGAAGAUGAUGCAGCGGCAGGUGGAAGCCAUCCUCCUCAACGGCGAGCAGCCGUGGAAGGUCAGGUCCUCCCGCGGCGCGGCCAGGCUCCUCGUCGGCCACGGCCUGGAGCACGAUCUCGACGCGCUGGGCAUGGACUACCCGGCGUACCUGAAGCGGGACACGGCGGAAUAUCCGCCGCUGAUGAAGACGAGCGGCAGGCUGAUGAGCAACUCGCUCCGGUUCCUCACACAGAGCUGCCUCGGCUACGACAUCCAGACGGGCCACCAGCACCCCUACGAGGACUGCGUGGCGGCCAUGCGGCUGUACAAGAGAAUGAGCUCGAUGAGGCACGGCCCGCCGAAGAACGGGGGCGAAGACGAUGCGUGCGCGGCGGUGGCAUUCCCGGCGCGGAGGCAGCGGGAGCUGGAGCGCAUGUCGCCGGAGGAGCUCCUCAGCAUGUCCAAGCCGGACUAUCACUGCUGGUGCCUCGACGACUAG
rnacentral:rRNA from 1 species